GGUGGUGAUGGACAGUGGAGAUAGAGGGUGGUGAUGGACAGUGGACAUGGAUAGUGGAGACAGAGGGUAGUGAUGGACAGUGGAGAUAGAGGGUGGUGAUGGACAGUGGAGACAGAGGGUGGUGAUGGACCCUGGAGAUAGAGGGUGGUGAUGGACAGUGGAGAUAGAGGGUGGUGAUGGGCGGUGGACAUGGACAGUGGAGAUAGAGGGUGGUGAUGGACAGUGGACAUGGACAGUGGAGAUAGAGGGUAGUGAUAGACGGUGGACAUGGAUAGUGGAGAUAGAGGGUGGUGAUGGACGGUGGACAUGGACAGUGGAGAUAGAGGGUGGUGAUGGACGGUGGACAUGGACAGUGGAGAUAGAGGGUGGUGAUGGAUGGUGGACAUGGACAGUGGAGACAGAGGGUGGUGAUGGACGGUGGAGAUAGAGGGUAGUGAUGGACGGUGGACAUGGACAGUGGAGACGGAGGGUAGUGAUGGAUGGUGGACAUGGACAGUGGAGACAGAGGGUAGUGACGGACGGUGGACAUGGACAGUGGAGACAGAGGGUAGUGAUGGAUGGUGGACAUGGGCAGUGGAGGUGGAGGGUAGUGAUGGACGGUGGACGUGGACAGUGGAGAUGGAGGGUAGUGAUGUACAGUGGACAUGGACAGUGGAGAUAGAGAGUGGUGAUGGACAGUGGAGAUAGAAGGUGGUGAUGGACAGUGGAGAUAGAAGGUGGUGAUGGACAGUGGACAUGGACGCUGGAGAUAGAGGGUG
rnacentral:lncRNA from 1 species